GUGAGGAAUAUUGCGCAAUGGAGGCAACUCUGACGCAGCCAUGCCGCGUGCAGGAAGAAGGCGCUACGCGUUGUAAACUGCUUUUAACCGGGAAGAAACCCCAGGACGUGUCCUGGGUUGACGGUACCGGAGGAAUAAGCACCGGCUAACUUCGUGCCAGCAGCCGCGGUAAUACGAAGGGUGCAAGCGUUAUCCGGAUUCAUAGGGUUUAAAGGGUGCGUAGGCGGAGCGUUAAGUCAGUGGUGAAAUCCUGCAGCUUAACUGUAGACUUGCCAUUGAUACUGGCGCUCUUGAGUGCGCUAGAAGGGGGCGGAAUGUGCCGUGUAGCGGUGAAAUGCUUAGAUAUGGCACAGAACACCAAUUGCGAAGGCAGCUCACUAAGGCGAUACUGACGCUGAGGCACGAAAGCGUGGGGAUCGAACAGGAUUAGAUACCCGAGUAGUCC
rnacentral:rRNA from 1 species